GGAAACCAAGGUUUGAAUCCCCACUGGGUGACCUUGGGCCAGUCACUGCCUACGCCAAAAGGUGCAGGUAACUCACUGGAACUCGCUGAUCCCCAAUUAUGAUGGGGAUCGGGGAUUACAAUUGUUCCCCAUGAACAAGGAAUUCCCAGGAAGUGUGGGUCAUAAGCUCACAUUAAGUCCCUGCC